AUACUUACCUGGCAAGGGAGAUACCACGAUCACGAAGGUGGUUUUCCCAGCGUGAGGCUUAUCCAUUGCACUGAGGGUAUGCUGACGCCUGCGAUUUCCCCAAAUGCUGGAAACUGGACUGCAUAAUUAGUGGUAGUGGGGGACUGCGUUCAUGCUCUCCCCUG